rnacentral:rRNA from 1 species
UAACACAUGCAAGUCGAACGAUGAAAUCACUUCGGUGGUGGAUUAGUGGCGAACGGGUGAGUAACACGUGGGCAAUCUGCCCUUCACUCUGGGACAAGCCCUGGAAACGGGGUCUAAUACCGGAUAACACUCUGUCCCGCAUGGGACGGGGUUGAAAGCUCCGGCGGUGAAGGAUGAGCCCGCGGCCUAUCAGCUUGUUGGUGGGGUAAUGGCCUACCAAGGCGACGACGGGUAGCCGGCCUGAGAGGGCGACCGGCCACACUGGGACUGAGACACGGCCCAGACUCCUACGGGAGGCAGCAGUGGGGAAUAUUGCACAAUGGGCGAAAGCCUGAUGCAGCGACGCCGCGUGAGGGAUGACGGCCUUCGGGUUGUAAACCUCUUUCAGCAGGGAAGAAGCGAAAGUGACGGUACCUGCAGAAGAAGCGCCGGCUAACUACGUGCCAGCAGCCGCGGUAAUACGUAGGGCGCAAGCGUUGUCCGGAAUUAUUGGGCGUAAAGAGCUCGUAGGCGGCUUGUCACGUCGGAUGUGAAAGCCCGGGGCUUAACCCCGGGUCUGCAUUCGAUACGGGCUAGCUAGAGUGUGGUAGGGGAGAUCGGAAUUCCUGGUGUAGCGGUGAAAUGCGCAGAUAUCAGGAGGAACACCGGUGGCGAAGGCGGAUCUCUGGGCCAUUACUGACGCUGAGGAGCGAAAGCGUGGGGAGCGAACAGGAUUAGAUACCCUGGUAGUCCACGCCGUAAACGUUGGGAACUAGGUGUUGGCGACAUUCCACGUCGUCGGUGCCGCAGCUAACGCAUUAAGUUCCCCGCCUGGGGAGUACGGCCGCAAGGCUAAAACUCAAAGGAAUUGACGGGGCCCGCACAAGCAGCGGAGCAUGUGGCUUAAUUCGACGCAACGC